rnacentral:ncRNA from 1 species
UUAAAAGAGAAGCUUAUAUAAUAAUCAUAAUAAGGGUGAUUAGUUUCUACCUGCAACCUUAAAUUGCAGACUAUAAGUUUUAUC